GAGGAGCAGCACCAAGGACCUUGUCAGAGGGCACAAGGAAAGCUUGUGGGAUUCCUGGGCUUCAACAGCUGUUCCAAGAAGAGUAGAUGCUUUUCCCAAGUGGCAUCUAUUCAAAUGUUAAGAGUGGUGUGCUGGUUAGCCAUGACUAUGUAAUCAACCACCUCAAAGCUCAGAGACUUAAAAUCAUUUGUUAAUUUGUCUGACAGUUCCAUGGCUCAGCUGAGCUGAUCCACUUAGGCUGUCGCAUCCUGUCGUGCUGAGAUGGCAGCUGGAGUUGGAGACCUCCAAAGGCUCAGCUGGGCUGAAGGUCCAGGAUGGCUCCUCCCCAAGGCUGGCAGCUCCUGCUGGCUGUCCCCUGGGAGCUCCGCAGGGCCUAUCAGCUGGACCACCUCUGCGUGACAUCUCCUGGUGGCCUGGGCUUUUCACUAUGUGGCCAUUUGGGUUCCCAGGAGGAUGUCCCAAGAGUGAGUGUUCCAAGGGACCCAGGAAUAAGACACAGGGCUUCUUAUGCACAAGCCUCAGAAGUCACACAGCGUCAUUUGUGCCAUAUUUCACGGGUCAACAGCAAGUCACAGAACCUGGCAGAGUAAAGGAAAAGGGGAGUCCACACAGCGCGAGUGACAGGAGAUAGGACUCCACGAGGAGGCCGUCUUUGAAAGUAACCAUCCAGGCAGCAUUGGUGAGGUUGGUCCUUGUAUCACGGCUUUCAUGUGUUGUUGUUUUUUUUUUUUAGAACAACUCAUCUCCUCUCCCUUCAGCUUUCCCCAAGGUAAGAUAUUAAUGAGAUCGUAUCUGAACUCUCUGACAAAAUAAUGCCUCCUUAUGAAGCAUACUAUUAUUACUAGCCUGCCUGAUCGCUCCCACCUGGAGCCCUCAGAACACAGGAUGGAAACGAUAUCUCAACAACAAACAAAACUUCAUUAAACCCAUUGAAAUAACACAGACAUUCGGAUUUAGUACAGAUCAAAUCCUAUUACCAACAAACUGCAUCAAAUUGCCUCCAAAAGUCUGUAGAGCCAGAUGUUUCCCAAGCCCUACUUCCUUCAAGCAAACGCCCAAUGUAAGCAAUGUGAAGGACUACUAAAGCAUAGGAACAUCCCUCGAGAUUUAUUAGGAUGUGGUUUGACCCAUUUUCUUUUAGUAACAGGUUCAGGCAUCUUAAAAUCAGAAAGAACUCUUGCAGGAUUCAUGAGUGUGAGCUGGCUGAGAAAUGAGUCUCAUUUAAAUUGUAGAAAAUGCAUCUUUAUGCUGUUAUCAGCCCCCCCCCCCCUUCCAGGCCCUGGGGGUAUCCACUAGAUUCUCUGGUCGGUAGUUGGUGAGCUCAGGGCGCAAAAGCUUGUCUGGCAGCUGGGAGCCCCACUCAAACCCAGAACCUUCCCCAGGACGAGAGUAAACUCAAAAUAAAGGGAAGGGCUUCAGACCACGUGGACUAGGGUGGUGGUGGAGGCGACGGCGUUGUGCAGCACUGAGACAUUCCCCCAAGGUGAGCCUCUGCUUUUCUCUUCCUGGAUACACACAUUCCAUAGUUCUUCCCUGCUUAUUUCUGCAUUAAGGGAAGGCAUUAGGGUCAGACAAGCACACAAAAGCCAUCCAGGAACGGGACUGCGCCUGCAGACGGUAGCAGCUCUCCCAGUGCAGACGCUCCAGAAGGCCGCCCCAGGCCCGCCCUCCUCCGCUGUCUCCUCUCCCCAUUCCCAGUUCUCACGUCAGGCGGUAUCUUUCCUUCCCCACUAAAGGUCAAAACAUCCUACACACUCAGCUGUGCCCCGCAGACCUCACUUCCUUCCCUUUGGCCAGGGCACACAUGGCUAAGGGAUCGGGAUGCACUUGGACAGGACCUGGCUGGAAGGCCAUCUGCCUUCUCACGUGGCAUCCAGAAAUAUGGCCAGUUUAAACUUGGAGAUCCCCACACUCUAAGCCAGGGGCUGUUCUUUAAAGCCAUCUUUGUGUUAGUCUCUUUUCCAAAUUCAUCCACUGCAGCCCCUAUGCCUUUUUUCCAUUAAAGAAUGCAUCUCCUACCCUCCUCCUUAGUCCACUGCCAAUUCACCUCAUCCACGCUACCCGCAGUCAGGUAACUGACUGUUUUGUUUUGUCUCACAGUUAGACCCUGUAUUUACUACAUUAUUUAUGUUUGGUUUUCCUCUACUUUUGUCUUUAAUGCAGCAAGCAUGGGCUGGGAAACUGCUGCAGUGUGUGAGAUUCUGCUGGAUCCCAGGGAUAGAGAGAUGCCCUACAAAUUGCUGCAGAGGUGGGGAUAGUCCUCACCCAAGCUAGGCAUGGCCCUCAGUCUUUAGGCCUCUCCUGUGUGUUUGUCUUGCCCUUCCCAGUGGAUUAUCAGCACCUGAAAGACAAGAAUCAGACCAGCGCCAAAAUGAAAAUGACUCUUAAGGGAUGCUGUGCGUGGAAGCGGAGCUCAUGUCUUCACUGGCGUCGGGAGCAUGAGCCGAGAGAGCUCAGGACGCACGCGCUCAGCAAAGUAAGGAAGGCCUGUGGGUUGUACGCAUGCGCAUGUGCACCAGUGUGCUUGCGCAUGCGCGCACAUCCAUCCGGGAACUUCUCCCCCAGAGACAGGAGCAACAAGGCUGCCUGCCUUUAUCUGGAGUAAUGGGGGCCAGUUCCAGGAUGGGAAGCAUAAUUCAAAACAAAGGUCAUCUGCUUUCCGUGUUCCAUACCAAGGAGCUGUGUUAAGGAAGUCAAGACUCAGAGAAGCUAAGUGACUUUCCCAAACUCACAAAGCAGUGAGAGCAAAGCCAGGACUGGAAUCUCCCUCUUCUGACUUCAAGAUGUUUGAUCACUGAAUGAAUGAAUCUGCUCUCUGUUCCCUUUUGGUUUGACGUGGCUGGAAAUGUCUGGAGGCGAAUCCUGGGGUUCGGCGUUGUGUCCAAAGAGGGACGAGGCAUGCUCGGGACUUAGAGUGAAAAAGCAGAGCGGGCUCAGAAGGUUCCCAGUCUCCACAAGUCAGGAGAUGUUGUUUCUCCCAGUAUUUUGGCAGACGUAAGACCACCAGAACCAGAAUUUUAGCAACGUGAAGGAGACUGUAGCAGGAAUAAAGGCAAAGGAAAAAGAAGGUGGAAUUUUAAGCCCAUUGAAGGAACAGGAAAUACCAAGUGGAAGGUAUCCGACUAGGUGACGUCUAGGGCCCUCCAUCGUCUGUGACUCCAUCUCAGAGGCCGAACACCUCACCCAAAGGUCACUACGGGAAGCCACACUACGCUCAAGUCUGCUUAGGUGUUGCAGGUAACAGUCCUAAUGGGAGCCAGGGUGGCAGCCAGCUCUUCUCCAGUCAUUUCAAGAUCUGGAUUUCUUCCACCUUUAUGUUCUGUCAUCCCACGUGCAAUUUACUCAAUGCACACAGUGAAAUACCACUUGCGUUGGUGUGAGCUAUGGGACACUUCACUAGGUUGGCGUUUUUGGCUGGAGCCUCCCACUGAAGAACACCUGGUGCAUAACAACCAUCCCGCACUCCUGUAAACAGAGCUCGGCCACUUUUUGUCAGUUUUCCAACUCACAUUGACGGCAACAGCGAGGCCAUACUGCAAAAAUACUCAACUCUGACAGGUCUACACUAAUGGGAAUGUUUCAUCACUUCUUGAGAUUCCUGUCUGUUUUGAUGGGAGUAGAAACAGCUCCCAAGUUGUUGCAGUGAUUUUGGCUUCCCUUAUGGAGUGGGGCCUUGGGCAGCUGUCCCUGAAGACCCAUCUCUGUCCACUGUUGAUUGCUAUCAACCCAGCUCCUCCGAGGCCUGACGAUGAGUGCAGGCUGCCUGCCAUGAGGGGCCCUGGGCUGGGGGCACUCAGACCAGUGUAGGCUGAGCACAGCUCAUGGUGACAAGGGCCCUCAAGAGGGGGCAUGCAGACAGGCAGAAGCACAGAGGAGGGGUAAAGUUGCCCAGGGAGAGGGGAGGUCCCGUCUGACUACAAGGUAGCCAGAUAAAGAAAGACUGGGGCUAGAGGGAAGAGUGUCAGACAGAGAGAGAGAGAGAAACAUUCACAGAGCAGGGAGGGAAAGUACAGCAGAUCCCAAAAGUAACUCUUGGAAUGACGGCAGUGAAAACGACCGUGGGAGCAGGUGAUGAGAACUGAGCUAGAGAAACAAGCAAGGACCAGUCCCUAAUGAGCCCUGAUUUGCCAUCUAAGGGGAUUGGAUCUCAUCCCGACGGCAGUGGGAAACCGCCAGCAACAUCUUUAAAGGGUUUAUUAUGAACUGACUGGUGUGGUGGAAAGAUCACUCUCAGCCACGAGGAAGGGAUGUUCCUAAAUGUGUGGUCUCAGGUGCGCCAGCAUCAGAUCCACCUGGGGCGCCAAUUAACAUUGUGGAGUCUUGGUCCCUGUGUCACCUCUGCUGAAUCAGAAUCCUGAGAGGUGGACCCCACGAGCCUGUACUCAUGCAUAAGAUGUCCUCAAAGCGAUUCUGAUGCCUACUAGAUACCUGAAUGUCAGUGGUGGCAAUUAUUUUAGGGCUGAGAGCCAAAUAGGGGGACAGCCAGUCCUAGGGACACAGAAGGAGCCUAAUGUGGUGGCAGAUGCUGACGGGGAGCGUGGAGAAGCUGUAGUCCUUGGCAUGGGAAUUAGGGAUUCUGACUCUUUGAGAAAACUUUGAUCCUGAGAAACCACUGCUGUGAGGCUUUCCCCACAGAGGCAAACGCAGCAAAGUCUGGCAGAAGAAGAUAAGGAAUAGCUGUCCCUCUGCAGAAUGGGCCACAGACACCCAAGGAGCCGGUUCACAGAUGUGGAUGUGACGGGACACAGGCUGUAAAAAUAGAUGACACUCCAGGCCAGGACAGGUUGCAUCUGGGAGCAUUGAUUGGUGGGUUCCAGCAAUGGGCUGCACCUUCUGGCAUGUUUUAUUUGUUUGUCUUUUAACUAAGUCAACUCAAUAUUCAUCCUAUGGCUUAGAACGUUGACACUGACAAGGACAGAGACGUUUUGACUGGUGCGUCUGCAGUCUGCCUGCACCAAAGAAAGGUCAAAACACUCCUCUCGGCUGGCCGGGCUUGGAAUCAGUAAGCAGCGUCUGUAGGAUUUGAAGGCAUCACACAUUCAGACCGCUGAAGCCUGAACGAGAGGAGUCACAGGAGCCUUUGUGAUUCUCUCCUGCAGCUGAAAUCACCAUCACCUGCAUUUCUGCAGCAACCAUUGUUUUCGUUUUUCUGUAUUUCCCCCGUGGGUAGGUUAUUUUAGCAUACAUGUUGUAAUUUUCCUUGGCUGGGAACCCAAAGCCAGUGGGGGGCAGACCCAGGAAUAGAACCUUACCUUCUCACCCCCAGCCUACCACUCCAAAACUGCCCAGCUGCCUCGUACGGCGAGUGACCUUUUCCUGAAAAAGACCAGAGACAGCAGGGAGGCUUUCCAGAAUAUCGUUCUGCCCUGUAGGCAAUAUUCACCACACUCAGAACCUGGUUUGAACUAAGAAAAUUCUACUGGGUUCUGCAUUAGUCAGGGCAAUGGUAGUUGUUAUAAAUAAAUAAACCCUCAAAUUGCAGUGACUUGACACAAUGGAAGUUUCUUUCUUCCCCAUAUAACAGUUGAGUGCAGGUGCUCUUGGUUGGCAGUUGAUGGGGUGGGGGAGGGGCUCUGCUUCACGCAGCCAUUUCAGGAUCCAGGAUGACAGAGCCUUGGCUGCCUUCAGCCCUUGGCUCCCAAGGUCACUCUGGGCAGUCCCCAGUCCACAGAAGGGGAAACGUGGAGGAUGGAGCAUGGAAGUGUUGAAGUCCAGGCCUAGAAGUGGUACACAUCCCUUCUAGAAUACCCCACUGUAAGGAAAACAGUUCCACGGCCACACCAAAAUAUAAUAAAAGGGACAUUGGAAAAUAUAGGUGAAACAAGUUAUGGUGAGCAAAGAAGAAAUUCCUAGCAAUCUGUGGACCAAGACGGGGAGCUUCCUGGAAUAGGUGUGGCAAAAGCUAUUGGGAAUGCUGGCAAGGGUCUCUUUUCAUCUCCUUACCUGACAUUCCUAAUUUAUUUGUGCACUCUCUAUCCCACGAGCAUCUAUUAAGCUCUUACUGUGUAUCAGAUAUUGGGCUAAGUGCUUUGAGAGGCUAUGAGGCAUAUGAGACUUGGUCUCUACACUCAAGGAAGUCACGGAACAAUGGGAGUGACAGACAAAAACAACCCCAAACAAUGAAGUACGUGCUGUGAUAGAGAAGUGUAUAAAGAAUUACACAAGCGUACAGCAAGAAGGUUCAUCUAGGUGAGACUUCAAAGAUAAUUAAAGAGCUUUCCGGAACAAAAAGGAAGGAAAGAGUAAUUUCAGGUAGGGAAUAGCACUGGCAAAAGCAUAGAGGUAUGAAAGAGCCGGGAUUAUCUAGAAAAUGGAAUCUGGUGUGCGUGAUGGGUAAAGCAUAGGGUGAGGAGAGAGACACAGGAGUGACACAGACAGAGAGAUGGGUUAGUACUAGGUGAGAAAAGACCCUGUAAGCCUGCAAUGUAUUUUUUUGCAUUUACCCUUAAGCCAAUGAUUCUCCCUUUCUCCAAUUAUACACUAUUUCCCUCCUUGUUUUUCUUAGAUACCUGGUUCACAUUUUUGUUUCAUGUAUGUAUCGUGCCCUGUCUCUGAGUAUUCUGGAAUAAGGCUGAUGGUAUGGCUGGAUUCCAGGACUCACAUUAUGCCAUCAGGACUCAGUUUCCCUCCAUCUCCAGGUUGUGCUCUCAGCUGUGUUUGCUGAGUUAGCACCUCAGCCUUUGCAUGGUGGCCCCAUGGCAGCAGCUCGCCUGACCCCUGCAUUCUCUGUUUCACAUUCAGCAGAAAGUUCUAGCAAAGUUCUCUGUGAGUCACUGGCUUCAGGGCAGUCAUAUCCCCAUUCCUGAAUUAAUAUUUUAUCUUUUUGUUAGCCCAGCCUCAGACUUACGCUUCACUUCUGAGCUUGGAGUAGUGGGAGGAUGGGGCUCAGAAGGAAACCAAGAUACAGUUGCCAGAUGGUGGGUGAACAGCUGCUUAGGCAAGAAAACAGGUCCCCUGCCCAGAACUCCACUGGACGGCCUCUCCAGCCAAACUGGCCUACUGCCGGGGCCCAAAAUAUGCUCUAGGCUUCUCUAACCCAUCUACCUUUUAAUAAACCACUUCCCUUUUUGAGUUCUUCCCAGUUCUCUCACCUGGUCCAAAUCCUACCCAUCUUUAAAAGUUAAGGGGAAAAUAAUCUCAAAUCCACUUUCUUAGUGAAGACUAAUGGGUUCACUGCUUCGGGCAAACAAUUAUAACACUUCUUAUUCACACAACUUUUUAGGAAACAAAUGUUCUUUAUCUCCUACAGCUUGCUAACUUUUAAUGACUCUUAAGUUUUUCUGUCCAGUUUGACCCUAAAUUGCUUUAGGGAAACCACAAUAGGCAUUUUUAUUUUCUCUUGAUACUUAAUUUAUAUUUCACUUGAUUUACAUAUUUAUAUCCCACCUUGUUCUAAAGUGAAUUUGAGAUAGCUUUCUAACCUGAUAAAGAGCAUCUACAAAAAAGAUACAACUAGCAUCAUAUUGAACGGUGAAGAGUUGAAUGCUUUCCCCCAAUACAUAGUAAGAGUGUCUACUUACACUACUGCUAUUAAAAAUUGUACACAAACUCCUAGGUAGUUCAAUGCAUCAAGAAAAAGAAAAAAGAGGCAUACAGAUUAGAAAGGAAGAAAUAAAACUAUCUUUAGUGCAGAUAACAUGAUUAUUUAUGUGGAAAUUCCCAGGGAAUCUAGAGGGAAACUCCUGAAACUAAUAAAUGGUAUUGAAACUAUGGGAGAUAAUAUAAAAAAAUUAAAAAUAUAAAAGAACCUUGAAAUGUUCACAACCUUACACCUUAUUCAAAA